rnacentral:lncRNA from 1 species
CGUCGACCCCACGCCACGCAGAGGUGAAGAUACGCAGGACGUCCUCUAAAGCAACUUCCGUGGGUGCCAGGUUGUGGGCUGGGGGCGGUGCUGACCUUGAGAGAGCGGAGGAGGCGCAGGCGCAGCACAGGUACGUGGGCGGGCGGAUCGUGGUGGCUGCGCUUGCGAGGACCCUGAGGUAGAUUGGGUGGUUUCAACAGGAACGCAUCCACUGUCUGAGAGUUUAAACUUGAUUUUGUGAGGGGACGAACAGCGUGACAAUUAAAAGAAGAUCUGGGAAUCAAAAGCUUCCUGAGGCCUUCACCAGAAGCAGAUGCUGGUGCCGUGCUUCUACAGCCUGCAGAACUGAAGGACUUUACAGCUUCUCUUUCGCAUAUCCAAAUUGCCAGCAUCACCGCUCUUGCACUCCAAGCCAUUAUUAAGUAAAGUAAAGAACACAAACACUGUGAUACUGCUACACUUGAUCUGAUAACCAAGAAGUCUACUAAGUGACUAACAGCAGAGCAACUGGGAACCUAAUUCUGACCAAAAAGGAGGAAUUGUUUGGCUAAUUGGAAGUGACAGAAACCUUGGGAGAAAGCAACCGCAUACCAAGGAUAAUUAUAAGAAGAAGAGAAGACAUGGAGAAGAGGAGGGAGUAGUUGUGACCGUGGAGGCAGAGAAUGGAGUAAUGUGAUCAUAAAUCAAGGAAUGCUGACAGCCACUAAAGCUGGAGAAGGCCAAGGACAGAUAUUCAAUCCUCCCGUAGAAGUACAGCCCUGCUAAUGCAUUGAUUUUGGACUUCUGGCCUCAGAACUGUAAGAGAAUAAAUUUCUAUUGUUUUAAGCCUUCAGUUUGUGGUAGUUUGUUACAGAAACCCUGUAAAGUUAAUACACAGAGUUCAAAGAGAAUCCGGUAAUAUCUCUAAAAGACUCGUGUAUUAGUCAGGAUUCUCCAGAGAAGCAAAGCCAAUAGAAUGAUACAUGUUGUUAAAGCAAAUUAAAAUGGAGACCAUGCCUGAAGAAUCUCUGUGCAGAGAAACCCAGUUAGGCCUCAUAAGUUAACCUUACUUGAUUUGCAAACAUAAUCUAAAAGUUAACUGGAGCUAUUUCCGGUAAAUGAAUAUAACACAACUUAAGCUCAAUCAGUCAGAAGCAGCUUUAUAAUUAUGUAGCUAGGGACUUUCCAAGAGGAUGACCAAAG